UACGGGGGGAGCAAGCGUUGUUCGGAUUUACUGGGCGUAAAGGGCGCGUAGGCGGUAGCACAAGUCAGUUGUGAAAUCUCCGGGCUUAACUCGGAAAGGUCAACUGAUACUGUGCGACUAGAGUGCAGAAGGGGCAACUGGAAUUCUCGGUGUAGCGGUGAAAUGCGUAGAUAUCGAGAGGAACACCUGCGUCGAAGGCGGGUUGCUGGGCUGACACUGACGCUGAGGCGCGAAAGCCAGGGGAGCGAACGGG
rnacentral:rRNA from 1 species